UGGACGCCUUGAUGAUGAUUCCUUUCAUGAAUUACUCAUAUGUUUCUUGUCUUCUAAUGAUUUGCAAGUCAAAAGCCUCUCCUGUGUGGGUAGAACGAAUGCAAAGGAUUGUGCGAAAAGAAUCAUGCGGCGACUCCUGACCGACAAGGUUGCUCGGAACUAUACCUGGAAAUGACAAAAGGGAGAGAUGUGUGCUUUCAAGGGACUGAAGGUGCAGGCCAUGAUCUACAAAGCUGUACGGAAGAACCGUGGGUGUAUGGAGGCUUCCGAUAAAGUUAGUGCAGGAGCCAUCACAGAGUGGAGACCAAUGCUUCAGCAGACAGUGCUGUUCCACCUGUCCGUCGUCCUUCCCGCCCGAGCUGCCAUCCGCAUCAGAGAGCGACGACUCCUCUCCCAGCGACAGAGAAGACUAGAGAUAUACACGUCAUGUCUACGAUGACUGCAAUGCCACCUACAGCCGCCGAAUGCCAGUACUGGUCACGUAGCCAUUUGCUUCCCACGGCAACUAGCAGGCAGUCCAGACAGUCCUUUGCCACUGGAUCGCCCCCACGAUCAAGAGCUGUCUCCCACAUAGGACACCUCUGCGCUCUACCUCAUUGUACUCCUCUACACUGGCAUAUGUCUGCCCCACCUUUCUGCAUGUGGGACCACAGGCUUGUCACCAAGCAACUCUUGACCCCAAUUGGAACGCUUGAUACUUCACCAUUUAAGUUCACACAUGACAUUGCUGUAGAAGAGGUCCUAUCCAAUACAUGGCCUUGGAUGUAGCUGGUGAUUAUCUCUGAUAUUUUGCACAAAUAUCUGAUAGUUUAGAUAUCUGAUGAUUACGAAUAAGAAGGUUUCCGUAUAUUCGAAUAAAGGCAUGUGGAUCUGCUAGUGUUCUAUAUACCUUGUUCUUAAAGCCUUUUCCCCAGAUGUACAGGAACCUUUGUUCAGCCUUGUUUUACAGUGUGGAAAAUCUCAUAAGGCUGGUUAAUUUGACUGAUGUGUCCAUUGUAGAAGGUUGGUGAUGAUAAUUUGAUCGUUGUUAUGUACAGAAGGAUACCUGUAUGUCUUGUGUAUUUUGUGCUACAUCUAGAUGGAUUAACCAUAUACUAUAUCUUUUCUUACAUCUAAAGCUCUAUUAGUUUAGUUUUAGUUUAAUUAUUCCUUGGGAAUCUUUAUGGAGCUUAACACCUAUCCUUGAAACAUUUUAAAUUGAACUGUUUAAAAGUGUUACUUUAAUAACAUUCCUUUGCUUUGACUUAACAGUGGUUAAUUAAUUCCUCUGAUUGUUCUCUGUUUCUCAUCUUUAUC